rnacentral:rRNA from 1 species
ACGCUGGCGGCACGCUUAACACAUGCAAGUCGAACGGAGAUAAUUUGAGUUUACUUGGAUUAUCUUAGUGGCGGACGGGUGAGUAACACGUGAGCAACCUGCCUUUGAGAGAGGGAUAGCUUCUGGAAACGGAUGGUAAUACCUCAUAACAUACAGACAUCGCAUGAAGUUUGUAUCAAAGAUUUAUCACUCAAAGAUGGGCUCGCGUCUGAUUAGAUAGUUGGUGAGGUAACGGCUCACCAAGUCGACGAUCAGUAGCCGGCCUGAGAGGGUGAACGGCCACAUUGGGACUGAGACACGGCCCAGACUCC